CCUACGGGGGGCAGCAGUGAGGAAUAUUGGUCAAUGGGCGGAAGCCUGAACCAGCCAAGUCGCGUGAGGGAUUAAGGCCCUGCGGGUCGUAAACCUCUUUUGCCGGGGAGCAGAGGUCCGGACGUGUCCGGGCCGGGAGAGUACCCGGAGAAAAAGCAUCGGCUAACUCCGUGCCAGCAGCCGCGGUAAUACGGGGGAUGCGAGCGUUAUCGGGAUUUAUUGGGUCUAAAGGGUGCGUAGGCGGGCAUUUAAGCCGGCGGUCAAAUGUCGGGGCUCACCCCCGGCCUGCCGUCGGAACUGGGUGGCUUGAGUGGGCGAGAGGUAUGCGGAAUGCGUGGUGUAGCGGUGAAAUGCAUAGAUAUCACGCAGAACCCCGAUUGCGAAGGCAGCAUGCCGGCGCCCUACUGACGCUGAGGCACGAAAGUGCGGGUAUCGAACAGGAUUAGAUACCCCUGUAGUC
rnacentral:rRNA from 1 species